rnacentral:rRNA from 1 species
UUGCGCGUUGCAUGUGAACUGCAGGACACAUGAACAUUGACAAUUCGAACGCACAUUGCGGCCCUAGGACUUGUUCCUGGGCCACACCUGACUGAGGGUCGG